UUGACCAGCAGCCGCGGUAAUCGAACGUUUCGAAAGGAACGCUAAUACCGCAUACGUCCUACGGGAGAAAGCAGGGGACCUUCGGGCCUUGCGCUAUCAGAUGAGCCUAGGUCGGAUUAGCUAGUUGGUGAGGUAACGGCUCACCAAGGCGACGAUCCGUAACUGGUCUGAGAGGAUGAUCAGUCACACUGGAACUGAGACACGGUCCAGACUCCUACGGGAGGCAGCAGUGGGGAAUAUUGGACAAUGGGCGAAAGCCUGAUCCAGCCAUGCCGCGUGUGUGAAGAAGGUCUUCGGAUUGUAAAGCACUUUAAGUUGGGAGGAAGGGCAUUAACCUAAUACGUUAGUGUUUUGACGUUACCGACAGAAUAAGCACCGGCUAACUUCGUGCCAGCAGCCGCGGUAAU
rnacentral:rRNA from 1 species